GAAAAAGAAUGUUUCUUUGUGUGCCUAUGGUCCAUUCCUGAAUACUUCUCACCCCUUCAAUCUAUUAAUACAGUCGCUGCUUUUCCUGCUAUGGCCUAUUUAAUGGCCUAUUUAGUUGCUCGUUUCACCCCACAGAAGUGCUCUGCUGUGAUCUGCUUCAGAAGCUGAAGGUGGGCCAUGAGGAGGCAGCAAAUCCAGAGCAGUCCACACUCCGAACCAUAUUUCUUCCGGAUACUGAGUACCUGGCCCCCACUAGAGCCCUACCAGAUGCCCAACUCUGAUGAGCCCUGUGUCUCCCAACUCAUGGCCUUGUUUGUCUACUGCCCUAGAAGGGACUCUUGUAAGCUCUCGGGGAAACUAAAACCAGACUGACCCAGAGACGCCGUCUACCUUCUCUCUCUCCUGGACACUUUCAUCAAACAGGAGAAGGUCGCCCUUUCAUUCUCAGCUGGAUUUGUGCUCCUGCCCCAUACACAUGGUUUAGUAAUAAUACACACCUAAGUGGUAAAACUGUGAAGAAAACCAAAAGCGAUGAGCACAAACGUUAAGACAAGGCCACCUCUAGGGAGGAGGCUGGAGGUUUUAUUUACAGAGGAGCCCUUGGAGGGUAUCUAAGGUCCUGGUGAGUGUUCUACUCUUUAAUUUUUAUGAUAGGUACAUAGGUGCUAACUGUACUGUAUUUUCAACUCUAUGUAUAUUUAAAAUACUCUUCUAGUCCUGA